AGAGUUUGAUCAUGGCUCAGAUUGAACGCUGGCGGCAUGCCUUACACAUGCAAGUCGAACGGUAACGGGCCUUCGGGUGCCGACGAGUGGCGAACGGGUGAGUAAUGCAUCGGAACGUACCUUUCAGUGGGGGAUAACGUAGCGAAAGUUACGCUAAUACCGCAUAUUCUGUGAGCAGGAAAGCAGGGGAUCGCAAGACCUUGCGCUGAUUGAGCGGCCGAUGUCAGAUUAGCUAGUUGGUGAGGUAAAGGCUCACCAAGGCGACGAUCUGUAGCGGGUCUGAGAGGAUGAUCCGCCACACUGGAACUGAGACACGGUCCAGACUCCUACGGGAGGCAGCAGUGGGGAAUUUUGGACAAUGGGCGGAAGCCUGAUCCAGCCAUGCCGCGUGAGUGAAGAAGGCCUUCGGGUUGUAAAGCUCUUUCGGUGGGGAAGAAAUUGCACGGGUUAAUACCCUGUGUAGAUGACGGUACCCGACUAAGAAGCACCGGCUAACUACGUG
rnacentral:rRNA from 1 species